UACGGAGGGGGCUAGCGUUGUUCGGAAUUACUGGGCGUAAAGCGCACGUAGGCGGACCAUCAAGUUGGGGGUGAAAUCCCGGGGCUCAACCCCGGAACUGCCUCCAAAACUGCUGGUCUGGAGGUCGAGAGAGGUGAGUGGAAUUCCGAGUGUAGAGGUGAAAUUCGUAGAUAUUCGGAGGAACACCAGUGGCGAAGGCGGCUCACUGGCUCGAUACUGACGCUGAGGCGCGAAAGCGUGGGGAGCAAACAGG
rnacentral:rRNA from 1 species